CUGCCCUCAAGCACGGCUUGUUGUUGGGCCCCGUCCCCCUCUCCGGGGGACGGGCCCGAAAGGCAGCGGCGGCACCGAGUCCGGUCCUCGAGCGUAUGGGGCUUUGUCACCCGCUUCGUAGGCCCGGCCGGCGCCAGCCGACCACCAAAUCAUCCUUUUUUUCA
rnacentral:misc_RNA from 1 species